UCUAGAGAGAGUUUUUUUAGUUCUCAUUCAUGAAGUUCAGAAAAAUACCAACAAAACAAAUUUUAACGCUUUUUUAGGUACUUCAAACUACCUAACUAAGUUCCCCAACCAAACAGGCCUAAUUCGCGUUAUUAGGAUGUGAAUCUAAGGCUCGAGAUUUUAGGAUGGGUUGGGCCAACUGACGUGGGUUUUAAACACAAAUCAUAAGUUGGUAGGGACGCAAGAGGACCAGAGGAGGAGGAAGAGGAAGAAGAAGAAGGGGAAGAAAAUGGCGGAGUCAGUGGCAGUGUUGCUCAUCACCAUUUUCACCAUCUCGACCUUCACUAUUGUUUCGGCCGUCGAAGACAAGUGUGCUGCAUGUUAUGCCGUUGCGGAUGAGUUGGAGCAAGGACUUUCAAAUGAGAAACCAAAGAAUAAUUUGGAUAUGAGAGAUCGAUUGAAUUCUAAAGGUCAGCGUGAAGGAAAGGUAAUCGAUUACAGAGUCAGCGAACUGAGAGUUGUCGAACUCUUGGAUGGACUUUGCGAGAAGAUGCAAGAAUACACCCUUCAAAAGAUGGAUUCCACUACAAGCUGGUGGGUCAAAACUGAUUACUAUCUUUCAGAUGCUAUUUUUUGCUCAAUAUUAUGCAAGAGGCUCGAGCAUAUUCAAAAGAGAUAUCAUCUUAUUGUGGAAGGUUACUGGAGGAAACUGAAGAUGAGUUGGCAGAAUUGAUAAAGAAAGGGUCUGUGAAAGUUGGAGGUGUGAGGAAAGUUCUAUGUCAAGAUUUGAGCAAGCAUUGCGUCCAUUCAAGUUAUUCUCAUCAGUCGCAUGAGGAUGAUGAUGAACCAGAUGAAGAGCUAUGAGUCGGUAACUUGUCAUGAAAAAAAUUGCCAUGAUUGAACUUUGGAAUCUUCUUUCUUUUGGCAUUACAAUUUUGUUUCAAUACUUAAAACUGGUGCACUGUUGGGGCAUUGUUAGUUCUGUUUCCAUCCCCAAACAACUCGGACAAUUUUUAUUUAGUCACCCGACUUCAAGAGCUUCAAAUUUACUUCA